CUGCUGCCUUCCGUAGGAGUCUGGGCCGUGUCUCAGUCCCAAUGUGGCCGAUCAACCUCUCAGUUCGGCUACUGAUCGUCGACUAGGUGGGCCGUUACCCCGCCUACUAUCUAAUCAGACGCGAGUCCAUCUGUAAGCGAUAAAUCUUUCAAAGCUUCCCCAUGCGGAAAAACUUCAAUAUGCGGUAUUAGCACAGAUUUCUCUGUGUUAUCCCCCUNUUACAGGCAGGUUACUCACGCGUUACUCACCCGUCCG
rnacentral:rRNA from 1 species